rnacentral:rRNA from 1 species
UACGUAGGGUGCGAGCGUUGUCCGGAAUUAUUGGGCGUAAAGAGCUCGUAGGCGGUCUGUCGCGUCGAUCGUGAAAACUUGGGGCUUAACCCUGAGCUUGCGGUCGAUACGGGCAUGACUGGAGUUCGGCAGGGGAGACUGGAAUUCCUGGUGUAGCGGUGAAAUGCGCAGAUAUCAGGAGGAACACCGGUGGCGAAGGCGGGUCUCUGGGCCGAUACUGACGCUGAGGAGCGAAAGCGUGGGGAUCAAACAGG